UACGUAGGGUGCAAGCGUUGUCCGGAAUUAUUGGGCGUAAAGAGCUCGUAGGCGGUCUGUCGCGUCGGAUGUGAAAACCCAGGGCUCAACCCUGGGCCUGCAUUCGAUACGGGCAGACUAGAGUAUGGCAGGGGAGACUGGAAUUCCUGGUGUAGCGGUGAAAUGCGCAGAUAUCAGGAGGAACACCGGUGGCGAAGGCGGGUCUCUGGGCCAAAACUGACGCUGGAGGAGCGAAAGCGUGGGGAGCGAACAGG
rnacentral:rRNA from 1 species